AUCUAUGGCGCUUUUCAUAAUAAAGAUGGCUUACAAUGUUUUUGUUAACGAAUACUUUUUGCGGCAUAAGUAUUAUUGUGAAACUUAAUAUUCAUAUCGCGUUAAAAUUCUGACAUUUCGCGGAUAAUUCGUGAAACAACAAGAAUAUAGUGAAUAGUAACGAAAUGCUGUAAAAUCAAAAUAGGCGUUUGGAAACAUUUGUAAGUGCUUAGAAUGUAGUUCCAAAAUCGUUUGUAAAAUUUCACGAUUUCGUCAUUAACGAAUUUCGAGUACCUCUAAGUAUAGUUCAACAUGGGAAAACCUAAAAACUGUCAGCCGAUCGUAUCCAUUUAUUGCAGUUCCCGUCUGUACAUGUUGUGCCUGGAGCUUCAUGCCUACAAAACCAACUGAGGGUUUCACACGGUGUUUUUUUGAGGAUCUGACUGGCCCAACACCAUGGUCCUGCCUCUAUGACAUUGAAGAUGGAGUGUGCACACACCUUCUUGUUGUAGAGGUCUCAUCUGCGCACUUUGCUGGGAGGAGGCAUCAUGCUGUGGUCAUCGUCGUGCCACCUGUGGUGCUCGAUGAAGUCGAACAGUUUCUCUUUCGUGAUCGGGUCACGGAUGCUGUUGCACACGCCUGCGACAAACACAUUACGAUACUUUAGCCCAAUGAAAUACAACUGUCAACUUUUUUAUUUGGAAUAUAUAAGAAAAAUUAGUCAUAUUUUUAAUAACCAAAAAUUGUGUGUGGAAUUUGCUAUUCUUAAAUAAUACUACACUUUAAUUUUAAUAAAACUCAAAUUAGAAAUAGGUAGGCCUGGGUGAUUAAGAGUUUUUUUUUUAGUUUGAAUUGAAUACAGAUAUAAAAUUAUUCUUGAAUUCAAAUGGUAGGAUAGAGUAUUAGACGUCAACUAAUUUUUUUUCCUCUGGAAAAAAAAAAUUGGCAAAUAUAGUAAUGUGAGAGGUCAGCUACAAUAAAUAUGUGGGAAAUGUUUAUUUAAA